GUCUAUGGCCAUGCUGCCCUGAAUAAGCCUGAUCCUGUCUGAUCUUGGAAGCUAAGCAGGGUCAGGCCUGGUACUUGGAUGGGAGACCAUCUAGGAAGACCAGGUGCUGUAGGCG
rnacentral:rRNA from 1 species